UUUUUUUUUUUAAUCGCUUAGCUAUUUUUGAUAUAAUUGUGUACUGUUGGGAUGCUGCUUGCAUAACAAACCGGAUUUUAUUUAUUUAUUUUUUAAUGCAGUACUCUUAGGACGAGGCGACGGGAAGAACUAAUAGCCUGCGGAGGAAGAAGCGUUGCCUGAGCCAUUCCGGUGCAGGAAAGGCGGAGGGCUCCGAGCCUCGCCACCGGAAACACGCCCCCAUGCCGGGGGAUCGUGGGCCGCGAGCAGACGGAGGCCGUGAGCGCCGAGGGAGGGCCGGUUAGCCUUCCGGGGAAGAGCGACCCCGCUUCCCGCUCGCAGGAGCGCGGCCCGCGCCGUGUUUGCGCGGAGAUGUACACCAGACAAGAAUCACAAAGUUUGGGGAGAAUAAAACUUCAGAAGGCCUGGAAGCCACAUAAGACUUGAGGACUGCACUCUCAAGAAAAAAAAUAGUGGGUACUUACCCAGUGGGCAAAGAUGCACAAGGACACAGUCUCUGUGGACCCUCCUUAGGACAGAGGAGAAUGGAGAAGGCUUCAGGGGUGAAUCUGAUGGAUUGUUUAUGGUGAAGGGACUGAGAAGUCCACCAUGAAGAUGCUGAUGUCUAGGGAGGUCUUCCUGCUGAGAAGUCCAACACGGAGAUGCUAAUGUGAAGAGAUGGCCUUCUUGCUGCACACACUAUACAAAGAGGCAUCACAUGGGGGAGGGGGAUGCCUGAGGGCAGCUCUCUGAGGCCACUAAUCUCAGACUGGUGGAUUUCUUUGAGUCCAUGGCCAGCCAUGAAUAUGGUCUCCAUGGUGAGUUUCAGACUAGCCAAGACUAC
rnacentral:lncRNA from 1 species